UUCAGCUUCCGGUAUUCAGCUUCCCGUAUUCAGCUCCCGGUAUUGGAGUAUUCCUUGGUGUUCCUUAGCAUUCCUUGACUUGCAGACAUCUUCCCAGUCUCCCUUCCAUCUUCACAUGGGCUUCUCAGCUGUGUGGUCCCUGUAUGUCCUGUCUCUUUAUUAGGCCACCCUCAGUGAAUUUAGAAUUCACUCUAACAAAGUAUGAUCUCACGUUGAUCCUUAACGCAUGACAUCUGCAAAGAUCUAUUUCCACGUGACAGUGAGUGGCCUCCCUGAGAGCAGGACUGUGCCAUCCUCAUGCUGUGUCCCCAGUGACUAGCUCAGUCCUCCGCAGACAGGAAGCUCCAAGCAAACGUCUAGUAAAUAAGUGAAUGAAUGAGUGAUCAGAAUGCACUCUUCUUUGUUGGUGCCAUCCCUUAAGCCCUUCUAAGUGUGACUUGUUUUGACUCAAUGGCAAGUCCAUUGACUUAAAUACCUUGACCAGUUCUCUCAUCCUAAAGUGUCUGGGAGUGUACAAAAGCAAAAAGAGAACACCAAGUUGCUUAGUGGCUCUUCUGUUUGUUUUACUUUAGUUGGGUCCCAGAAACUCGAAAAGCCAACAGCCAGGGUGAUUUAGCAAGUCCUGG
rnacentral:lncRNA from 10 species